rnacentral:rRNA from 1 species
AACGCGAAGAACCUUACCCAGACUUGACAUGCAGAGGGAUAUCGCAGAAAUGUGAUAGCUCUUCGGAGCCUCUGCACAGGUGCUGCAUGGCUGUCGUCAGCUCGUGCCGUGAGGUGUUUGGUUAAGUCCAGCAACGAGCGCAACCCUUAUCAUUAGUUGCCAACGCGUAAUGGCGGGAACUCUAAUGAGACUGCCUGGGUUAACCAGGAGGAAGGUGAGGAUGACGUCAAGUCCGCAUGGCCCUUAUGUCUGGGGCUACACACGUGCUACAAUGGUCGGUACAGAAGGCAGCAAAGCCGCAAGGCGAAGCAAAUCCCUAAAGCCGAUCUCAGUUCAGAUUGUAGUCUGCAACUCGACUACAUGAAGACGGAAUUGCUAGUAAUGGCGUGUCAGCAACAACGCCGUGAAUACGUUCCCGGGCCUUGUACACACCGAGACGAC